rnacentral:rRNA from 1 species
GUGCCAGCCGCCGUGGUGAUACCGGCAGCCCGAGUGAUGGCCGAUAUUAUUGGGCCUAAAGCGUCCGUAGCUGGCCGCGCAAGUCCAUCGGAAAAUCCACCCGCCCAACGGGUGGGCGUCCGGUGGAAACUGCGUGGCUUGGGACCGGAAGGCGCGACGGGUACGUCCGGGGUAGGAGUGAAAUCCCGUAAUCCUGGACGGACCGCCGAUGGCGAAAGCACGUCGCGAAGACGGCUUCGACAGUGAGGGACGAAAGCUCGGGUCUCAAACCGGAUUAGAAACCCGUGUAGUCC